rnacentral:rRNA from 1 species
GACGAACGCUGGCGGCGUGCCUAAUACAUGCAAGUCGAACGCAGUGGGGACGGGUGAGUAACACGUGGGUAACCUCCCAUCAGAGGGGAUAACACUUGGAAACAGGUGCUAAACCGAUCUUGAUGGAUGGACCUGCUGUGAAUUAGUUAGUUGGUGAGGUAACGGCCCACCAAGGCCACGAUGCAUAGCCGACCUGAGAGGGUGAUCGGCCAAACUGGGACUGAGACACGGCCCAGACGCCUACGGGAGGCAGCAGUAGGGAAUCUUCGGCAAUGGACGAAAGCCUGACCGAGCAACGCCGCGUGAGUGAAGAAGGUUUUCGGAUCGUAAAACUCUGUUGUUAGAGAAGCGGGAACUAACCAGAAAGCCACGGCUAAAUACGUGCCAGCAGCCGCGGUAAUAC